rnacentral:rRNA from 1 species
UACGGAGGGGGCUAGCGUUGUUCGGAAUUACUGGGCGUAAAGCGUACGUAGGCGGCUUUGUAAGUUAGAGGUGAAAGCCCGGAGCUCAACUCCGGAACUGCCUUUAAGACUGCAUCGCUAGAAUCAUGGAGAGGUGAGUGGAAUUCCGAGUGUAGAGGUGAAAUUCGUAGAUAUUCGGAAGAACACCAGUGGCGAAGGCGACUCACUGGACAUGUAUUGACGCUGAGGUGCGAAAGCGUGGGGAGCAAACAGG